AGUGAACGCUGGCGGUAGGCCUAACACAUGCAAGUCGAACGGCAGCACAGUAAGAGCUUGCUCUUACGGGUGGCGAGUGGCGGACGGGUGAGGAAUACAUCGGAAUCUACUUUUUCGUGGGGGAUAACGUAGGGAAACUUACGCUAAUACCGCAUACGACCUACGGGUGAAAGCAGGGGAUCUUCGGACCUUGCGCGAUUGAAUGAGCCGAUGUCGGAUUAGCUAGUUGGCGGGGUAAAGGCCCACCAAGGCGACGAUCCGUAGCUGGUCUGAGAGGAUGAUCAGCCAGACUGGGACUGAGACACGGUCCAGACUCCUACGGGAGGCGGCAGUGGGGAAUAUGGGACAAUGGGCGCAAGCCUGAUCCAGCCAUACCGAGUGGGUGUAGAAGGCCUUCGGGUUGUAAAGCCCUGUUGUUGGGAUAGAAAAGCAGCAGGUUAAUACCCAGCUGUUCUGACGGUACCCAAAGAAUAAGCACCGGCUAACUUCGUG
rnacentral:rRNA from 1 species